GGGAGUCAGACUGCACGAGAUAAGUUGGGCAGUCAAAAGGGAAAGAGCCCAGACCGCCAGCCAAGGUCCCAAAGUGUGUGUUAAGUGGAAAAGGAUGUGGGAUCUCCAAGACAACUAGGAUGUUGGCUCAGAAGCAGCCACACAUUCAAAGAGUGCGUAACAGCUCACUAGUCGAGAGGUCCUGCGCCGAAAAUGUCCGGGGCUGAAACACAACACCGAAGCUGCGGAAUUGCGAAUGCAAUUGGUAGAGGAGCAUUCUUAAUACCGACGAAGCUGUACCGGAAGGAGCAGUGGAGGGAUAAGAAGAGAGAAUGCCGGAAUGAGUAGCGAGAGAGAGGUGGGAAUCCUCUCGGCCGAAUAUCCAAGGUUUCCAGAGUAAAGCUGAUCUGCUCUGGGUAAGUCGGGGCCUAAGGCGAGGUCAAAAGACGUAGCCGAUGGACAACAGGUUUAGAUUCCUGUACCGCAUAUAAACAGAACUGUGGGGACGCAUGGGGAGAGCAUGGGCCGGGAAUGGAAAUACCGGUGCAAGCGAAGGAGGUGUGCAGCCGGCAAAUCCGCUGCAUGAGCCGAAAGCGUGACGCGGAGCGAAAUAAAAGUAGCGAAGCAUGUGAGCCCUGUGCCGAGAAAAGCCGCUAUUGUUUUAUAUGUGCCCGUACCGUAAACCGACACAGGUGGAUGAGGAGAGAAUCCUAAGGCCGGCGGAAGAAGUAUUGUUAAGGAACUCGGCAAAAUGACCCCGUAACUUCGGGAGAAGGGGUGCCCACGAGAGUGGGCCGCAGAGAAUAGGCUCAAGCAACUGUUUAGCAAAAACACAGGUCUAUGCGAAACCGAAAGGUGAAGUAUAUGGGCUGACGCCUGCCCGGUGCUGGAAGGUUAAGAGGAGAGGUUAGCGCAAGCGAAGCUUUGAAUUUAAGCCCCAGUAAACGGCGGCCGUAACUAUAACGGUCCUAAGGUAGCGAAAUUCCUUGUCGGGUAAGUUCCGACCCGCACGAAAGGCGUAAUGAUUUGAGCACUGUCUCGACAAUGCAUCCGGUGAAAUUGAAGUACCAGUGAAGAUGCUGGUUACCCGCGCCAGGACGGAAAGACCCCAUGGAGCUUUACUCCAGUUUGAUACUGGGAUUCGGUACUGCACGUACAGGAUAGGUGGGAGACUGAGAACUAUGGACGCCAGUCUGUAGGGAGUCGCUGUUGGGAUACCACCCCUGUAGUACUGGGUUUCUAACCAGCUGCCGUGACCCGGCAGUGGGACAAUGUCAGGCGGGGAGUUUGACUGGGGCGGUCGCCUCCGAAAGGGUAUCGGAGGCGCUCAAAGGUUCCCUCAGAAUGGUCGGAAACCAUUUGAAGAGUGCAAAGGCAGAAGGGAGCUUGACUGCGACACCGACGGGUGGAGCAGGUACGAAAG
rnacentral:rRNA from 1 species